GCCUCUAUAGCUCAGUGGUAGAGCGUCAGUCUUAUAAACUGAAGGUCUGUAUUUAGAUCUUGCAUGGGGGCA